GGGAAAUGGGAAUUAUCAGAGGAUUGUAGGAAUUUGGUGAAAUUCCCGCUGUCGGGAUGAGGACGGUCCAUCUCAGUCAAUUGAGAUUUGUGUUUUAUUUCUUUCAGGAGGAAUCUGGUCGCAAGCAAAGGGUUCAUGAUGAAGCCAAACCAGUGUCGGUGGUAGAUGAUAACUUGCUGAUUGAAAAAUUUGAAAAUCCUUUUUUGUACAACACGGUAUUGGCAGAAACACCUGAUGCCUUCAAGCAAGUCUCCGUCACCCUGGAU